CUAGAGUCAUAGUGAUUCUGAUAUUGUUGUCUUCAUAUUCGUACUUUUACUUUGGAUUCGGAGACAUUUAGCUUUAUAUGAUUCUACCCCAAUCUGUCAUUCUCCAAACAUAACCGAUGGCAAAACUAUAAUCACACAGUUUUUCCCUCCAGCUUCUUAGUUUCCAGUCAUUAACAAAAAAGAAAGAAAGAAAGAAAAAUGUUAAAGGUACUGAGAAAAGUUCAGUGCUUACAGCUGGUUUCAGCAAUUUCAACUUGCGCAAGACCCCAUGUUUGUGAAAACAACCCAAGAAUCUUUGAACAGGAUGUAAUCAACCUCCGAUCUGCUGAGAAACGCUGCAAAAAUGACUUCAGUUGCCAAAAAUAAUAACGUCGUUUACAAGCAGCUCUUCCUAUGUCUAAGGAAGAACCAGCCACGCGUGCGAGUUUAUGCUGGCUUCAGACAAGCAAGCAAGGAAAAGGGCAAAUCCUUCCUCCCUCCCUUAAAAUACACAGUAUCGGAACCCGCGGGAAGCCGGAGCCCAUUUCAAAGGUAUUGGCAAUAUUGGCGGAGGUUCAUAUCCACAAAAAUCCAAACAAUUAUGUGAUUUGGUGCCUGGAAGUCAUUACUGGAAAUUUGGCUCUAAGUGAGCUGGCAGUAUCCAGGAAAAUGAUCUUGGGUAUACAGGUAAAUAGAAAUUAUAGCUCUUCAGUGACAGCAAGAGUCAUCAUGAUUUUUUUUUUAGAGUUGUUGAUGACUCAAAUACCACCGAAACAGCUGGAAAUGGCAGCACCUGAAAUGGAAAAAACAAGAGCUGAAAGUUUAUUUUGA
rnacentral:lncRNA from 1 species